rnacentral:rRNA from 1 species
GAUGAACGCUGGCGGCGUGCCUAACACAUGCAAGUCGAGCGUGAUUGUCAGGAGUGGAGACUUCGGUUGAAGCGAGUGACAUGAAAGCGGCGGACGGGUGAGUAACGCGUGGGCAACCUGCCCCAUACAGCGGAAUAGCCACUGGAAACGGUGGUUAAUGCCGCAUAAGACCACGGUAUCGCAUGAUGCAGCGGUCAAAGAUUUAUCGGUAUGGGAUGGGCCCGCGUCUGAUUAGCUAGUUGGUGGGGUAAUGGCUCACCAAGGCGACGAUCAGUAGCCGACCUGAGAGGGCGGACGGCCACACUGGAACUGAGACACGGUCCAGACUCCUACGGGAGGCAGCAGUGGGGAAUAUUGCACAAUGGGCGCAAGCCUGAUGCAGCAACGCCGCGUGAGUGAAGAAGGCCUUCGGGUCGUAAAGCUCUGUCCUCUGGGAAGAAACAAAUGACGGUACCAGAGGAGGAAGCCCCGGCUAACUACGUGCCAGCCGCCGCAGUAAUAC